CACAUUUUUCACUCAAAUAACGUAUUUAUUCAUUUAUUUCCUGGUGGAAUUUCUAUCAUUCUCAUUGACGUCGCCCUCCAUAAACACAGAGUAAACGCGAAAACACACACAGCGAAUUCAAUAAUCUAGGGUUUUUAAUGGCCAAUCCAGUUACUUCAGGAUCGGGAAUCUUCAAGUUCCUCAGGCCCAGUAUGCGCCCUCAGGCCACGGACAUCCAGGCUGCUGCCCUGUGGGGUGUAACCGCCACCACCUCAGCCUUGUGGAUCAUCCAGGUCUCCGUUAUCCACCUUUAAAUCCAUUUCUCGCGUGUUAUAGAUCUAUAUCUUUGAUUAAUAUCUUGCUUGAUUUUGACACUAUAUUAUUAAUUUGUUUGACCAAUGUUGGUUUAUUUUUGUGUGUUAUUUCUGAUUCAUCUUAGAUCUUAUGUUUUAGCUUUCAAUGGGAUUUCCGUAUCAAUGUGUGGCAAUGACUUUUUUUUCCCCUUAUUUUGUUUUAUGGAAAUUGCUUGAUUUUCUUUGUGUGAUGCAUUUUAUUAAUAAAGUUGUUCCUUUUCCUUUAUGUAGAAUUGAAUUUUUGGAAAAGAUCAAAUUCUAAAAUAUGAAUCAUUGUUCGAUUCAAUACCAAGGGUCAUAUGCCAGAUGAACAAAGAUGGAAACGUUUUAUGGCUCGAAAGCAGUUUUUAGUAUGUCAUUCUUAAUAGUAUGGGUUAAUAUGUGUGUAUCUUAUUUCGUGUUUGGCCUUUAUUGAAGGAAGAUUUCAUAUCAUGGAUAUGGGAUAUCUGAGAGUUAAGUGUUCCAAUGGUUAGGUCCAUGUUUUUGAGUUUAAAAUGUCGAAUUUUGGUCACUGAACUUAAGUACAUGCCUUUGACUGAUCACUGAAGUUUAAAAUACUGAGUUUUGAUCACACUGAAGUUUAAAAUACUGAGUUUUGAUCACUGAACUUAAGUUCAUAUCUUUUAUUGCUCACUGAAAUUUAAAAUGUCAAAUUUUAACUACUGAACUUUGAAAAAUAUUAUACAUUACUCACUGAAUUUUAGAAAAUGCUAUACAUAAUUUUAGAAAAUACUAUACAUUAUUCACUGUAAAUUCAAUAUUUUUGAAAGUUUAACAGAUAUGUUAGUGAGUAACCUACGUCAUAUUCCAAAGUUACGUGGCCAAAACAUUUUAAAUUUCAGUGAGUAAUCUAAGACAUGGACCUAAGUUCAGUGACCAAAACUCGACAUUUUAAAUUUCAAUGACCAAUCAAAGAUAUGAAACUAAGUUCAAUGAGCAAUCGAAGAUAUUAACAUAAAUUCAGUGACCAGUCAACGACAUGAAUUUAAGUUCAGUGACCAUUGGAACAAUUAACUCGAUAUUAGAUGAAACAUAGUAUUUGAUUUAAUCUUUUUUUGAGCUGAAAUGUGUCUCCAAACUUAUUAUGUUUGGUGUCUCAUUGAGAUUGCCGCCAUCAAUCCCACAAACAUUAAGAAAUAUUGUUACCAUAUAAAACAUAAAGUAAACCACAUGUUACUCAACUGACCAGAAAAUGACUGUAACCAUUUUUUAAUCAACAUUUUGAUAUCAUCGGUGGAUGAGUGGAUGCUUAAUCUGAGUUCAGGUGUGGAACAUUAUAGAUUGUUGCUUGAUGAUGUUGAACUUAAGGUUUGGAAACUGUCUCUGUAAUAAAAAUUCCUAGUAUGAUUUUAGGAUAAUCAGAAACUGUGGUUGGAAUAAUUAGAAAUUUCUUAUCAAUGCUUAGUACUGCUUGCAAUCAAACUGCAUUCAUACUUUACUCUUUUGAUGGUUCUGAAGUCAACUCGUCUCCUCUCCAAACUUUCAAAGCUCAAAACAUUAAUUUAGUUCAUUUUUAAAUUGAAAUACUUGCAAUAUUGCAGUCUUUAAUGUGAAUUUUAUUGAUAUUUAUUAUUUCUCCCCAACACCUUUUUUUUUUUUUUUUUUUUUUGCAUCCCCCUUAUUGUGUAUGUAGACAUAGAUAGUUCAAAAUUCCAAUGCCUGUUUUUUUCUCUUUUAGUUAAUGAGUAAAGAUGGAUCCACAUAAAAUUUUGAAGGUGGAUCUUUCCCUUUGAAGUGGUAACACUUAAAUGUUGAAUAGAUUCAAUUGAUUAAAAAUGUGUGUGUGUGUGUGUGUGUGUGUGGUUUAUUUAUUAUGUAUUUAUUUUUUGGAUAAAUUUUUUAACCACUGCCUAUUGGUCUUCAAAAUUUUAUUGAAUGUUUAAUUUUAUCUUGUAUGAGAGGACAAUUAAAACUAUUGAUAAUUAGAUAGGACUGUUUCAGAGAAUCUGUAGAGACAAUUGUAAGGUACACCAAAACAUUUUAAUUAAUUUUAGGAUUUUUUGAGGAUAUUGACAUUGAUGGAUAGAUUUAUCAUGUGAAGUUCUUGAGAAGGGGCACACCAUGCAUUUUGGAUAAGCUUAAAAAGUCCAUUGGAAAUAAAUAAACAAGUUGUUGUUGGUCACCUUUGAAAAUAAGUGAAUUAACUUUUUUGAGAAAAACUGUAACUGUACUUUUAAUUUUUUAUAAUCAUCAAGCAUGUUUGGAAACAAAAGAUUACUUAAAAGCAUGAUCUGCUGCUUUCGAAAAUGAAAAAAAAAAAAAAAUGAUUUAGACCUUUUCUGCUCAAUAAGAAAAAUGUAAAACCUACUUUUCAGCUAAAUAAAUUAAUUAUGCUCUAAAUGUUGUUUUUCAAAUGACAGAGCAGCUUUCCCAAGCUCUGGAUGGCUUCUCGAAGAUUACUUUAUACGUGUUUUGUUACUUUAUUUUCUUGUUUGCCUAUGGAGUUUCAGUUUGUUUGGAGUGAGUUUGUUAUCUAAUUGGUAUUUUAUUAGCAAGCAUUUCUCUGCCUCCCUGUCUUUGGCACAAGAUAGAUGAUUAAUGAUUUGUGCACGGAUUUUGGUCUCUGAAGUGUGCAAUAUUUAAUUAAAACGUGCUCCCUCUCAGUUUCUUCUUCAUCUUCUGUAUUUUUAUUUAUUUAUUUAUUUUUUAUCUGUCUCAUUUUACAUUCAACUAACUUGGAUCUUCAUGUCAUUUUUGAAUAUGUACAGCCUUUUGAUUGGUUGAAAAAGACACUUUUUGAGAGAUCCAACUCCGAAGAGAAGUGAAUGGAAAUGUGAAAUCUUACUGGUAACCUUUUUGAGAUUAUUAUUACCGAUUUGAACUUUGAGGAGGAUUCAGUUGAAUUAUACCAUUUUGUUUCAUGUUUUCCCAUGAAAAACCUCUACUUCAGUUUUUGGAUUAAUUUAGUAAAAAGCAUGGAUUCUCUCUCUCUCUCUCUCUCUCUCUCUCUCUCACACACACACACAAAUCGCCGUGGUCUUACGCAGACUGUUUUGCACAAUGAUGGAGUAUUGUAUUCUCCUACUUAUAGCCAUGAUGUUCUCUAUAUCUAUUUUCACUUCUUUCCCAUUGUAGUUCUUCUUUCUUUGUAUUUUUUUCCUUUGGUGAAUGGGUCCUCAGACCUUAAUUUUCUUGAAAAGAGUACCUUUUGACUGGUUUCCCGUUUCUGUCCAUAAUGAAAACUUAACUAGAGAAAUUGAAGGUCUGGAAUUUGUUUGCUAAAAGAAUAAUGCCAGCUAGUGCCAAAAAUAACAUAACUAUUGCUAAAAGUAACGCUACUAUUGCGAAAAACAUGAGAACGAAGCUCAAAAAUUUCCCCCAUUUACGUCCCAAAUGAAUCAUGUGCCUUCAUUGCUAAUAAGAAUGAUGCAUGCAAGUAUUUGACAAAAUAUAUACAUUAUUAAGAAUAUUAAAUUUAUUUCUAUGAGCAUCUAUUAUGAAUUUAUGUCUGUGGGAAGUAUUUGAUAAAAGUC
rnacentral:lncRNA from 1 species